rnacentral:rRNA from 1 species
GACGAACGCUGGCGGCGUGCUUAACACAUGCAAGUCGUACGGUAAGGCCCUUUCUGGGGUCCACGAGCGGCGGACGGGCGAGUAAGACGUACGUAACCAGCCCACCACUUUGGGAGAACGCUAGGAAACUGGCGCGAAUACUGGCUAUGUGCUCCUGCUGCAUGGUGGGGGUUGGAUAGCUCCGGCGGUCGUGGGUGGACUCGCGGCCUAUCAGCUUGUUGGUGGGGGGGUGGGCUACCAAGGCGGCGACGGGUAGCCGGCCUGAGAGGGUGACCGGCCACAUUGGGACCUAGAUAAGGCCCAGACGCCUACGGGAGGCAGCAGGGGGGAAUAUUGCACCAUGGGCGCAAGGCUGGUGCAGCAACGCCGCGGGCGGGAAGACGGCCUUCGGGUUGUAAAACGCCUUCAGCAGGGACGGAGCUUUUUGUGACGGUACCUGCAGAAGAAGCACCGGCUAACUACGUG